AGAGUUUGAUCCUGGCUCAGGAUGAACGCUAGCGGGAGGCCUAACACAUGCAAGCCGAGCGGUAGGUUUCCUUCGGGAGACUGAGAGCGGCGCACGGGUGCGGAACACGUGUGCAACCAGCCUUUAUCAGGGGGAUAGCCUUUCGAAAGGAAGAUUAAUACCCCAUAAUAUUUUGAGUGGCAUCACUUAAAAUUGAAAACUCCGGUGGAUAAAGAUGGGCACGCGCAAGAUUAGAUAGUUGGUGAGGUAACGGCUCACCAAGUCUACGAUCUUUAGGGGGCCUGAGAGGGUGAUCCCCCACACUGGUACUGAGACACGGACCAGACUCCUACGGGAGGCGGCAGUGAGGAAUAUUGGACAAUGGGUGAGAGCCUGAUCCAGCCAUCCCGCGUGAAGGACGACGGCCCUAUGGGUUGUAAACUUCUUUUGUAUAGGGAUAAACCUUUCCACGUGUGGAAAGCUGAAGGUACUAUACGAAUAAGCACCGGCUAACUCCGUGCCAGCAGCCGCGGUAAUACGGAGGGUGCAAGCGUUAUCCGGAUUUAUUGGGUUUAAAGGGUCCGUAGGCGGAUCUGUAAGUCAGUGGUGAAAUCUCACAGCUCAACUGUGAAACUGCCAUUGAUACUGCAGGUCUUGAGUGUUGUUGAAGUAGCUGGAAUAAGUAGUGUAGCGGUGAAAUGCAUAGAUAUUACUUAGAACACCAAUUGCGAAGGCAGGUUACUAAGCAACAACUGACGCUGAUGGACGAAAGCGUGGGGAGCGAACAGAAUUAGAUACCCUGGUAGUCCACGCCGUAAACGAUGCUAACUCGUUUUUGGGUUUUCGGAUUCAGAGACUAAGCGAAAGUGAUAAGUUAGCCACCUGGGGAGUACGGACGCAAGUCUGAAACUCAAAGGAUUGACGGGGGCCCGCACAGG
rnacentral:rRNA from 1 species